rnacentral:lncRNA from 1 species
ACGAUAGGCUACCUCCCCUAUCCUCUCCAAAAUCUGAUAAGGACCAAUAAAUCGAGGUGUCAACUUCUUCGACUUCAAGGCUCGACCAACCCCAAUUAUCGGAGUAACACGAAGAAACACAUGAUCUCCCUCUUGAAACUCAAGUGACUUCCUCCUCUUGUCGUGAUAACUCUUCUGACGAAUCUGAGCAAUCCUCAUCUUCUCCUGAAUUAUCUUAAU